CAUUGAACGCUGGCGGCAGGCCUAACACAUGCCAAGUCGAGCGGUAGAGAGAAGCUUGCUUCUCUUGAGAGCGGCGGACGGGUGAGUAAUGCCUAGGAAUCUGCCUGGUAGUGGGGGAUAACGCUCGGAAACGGACGCUAAUACCGCAUACGUCCUACGGGAGAAAGCAGGGGACCUUCGGGCCUUGCGCUAUCAGAUGAGCCUAGGUCGGAUUAGCUAGUUGGUGAGGUAAUGGCUCACCAAGGCGACGAUCCGUAACUGGUCUGAGAGGAUGAUCAGUCACACUGGAACUGAGACACGGUCCAGACUCCUACGGGAGGCAGCAGUGGGGAAUAUUGGACAAUGGGCGAAAGCCUGAUCCAGCCAUGCCGCGUGUGUGAAGAAGGUCUUCGGAUUGUAAAGCACUUUAAGUUGGGAGGAAGGGCAUUAACCUAAUACGUUGGUGUCUUGACGUUACCGACAGAAUAAGCACCGGCUAACUCUGUGC
rnacentral:rRNA from 1 species